rnacentral:rRNA from 1 species
AACGAACGCUGGCGGCGGGGCUUAGGCAUGCAAGUCGCGCGAGAAAGCCGCAAGGCAAGUACAGCGGCGUAAGGGUGAGUAAUAGGUAGUCAACGUACCCAUUUGACGCGGAUAAUUCUCCGAAAGGGGUUGUAAUACGCGAUGAGACCACGGGCCCUUUGGGGUUUGGGUCGAAAGGUCGGGGAUCCUUCGGGACCUGGCGCGGAUGGAGCGGACGACCUCCGAUUAGCUAGUUGGCGGGGUAACGGCCCACCAAGGCGAUGAUCGGUAGCCGGCCUGAGAGGGUGUUCGGCCACACUGGGACUGAGACACUGCCCAGACUCCUACGGGAGGCUGCAGUCGCGAAUCAUUCACAAUGGGCGCAAGCCUGAUGAUGCCACGCCGCGUGCGGAUGAAGCCCUUUGGGUGUAAACCGCUGUNAAGAGGGGGAACCGUAUGGAGUUAACAGCUCCAUACCUGACUGCCC